CCUACGGGUGGCAGCAGUAGGGAAUCUUCCACAAUGGGCGAAAGCCUGAUGGAGCAACGCCGCGUGGGUGAAGAAGGUCUUCGGAUCGUAAAACCCUGUUGUUAGAGAAGAAAGUGCGUGAGAGUAACUGUUCACGUUUCGACGGUAUCUAACCAGAAAGCCACGGCUAACUACGUGCCAGCAGCCGCGGUAAUACGUAGGUGGCAAGCGUUAUCCGGAUUUAUUGGGCGUAAAGGGAACGCAGGCGGUCUUUUAAGUCUGAUGUGAAAGCCUUCGGCUUAACCGGAGUAGUGCAUUGGAAACUGGGAGACGUGAGUGCAGAAGAGGAGAGUGGAACUCCAUGUGUAGCGGUGAAAUGCGUAGAUAUAUGGAAGAACACCAGUGGCGAAAGCGGCUCUCUGGUCUGUAACUGACACUGAAGCACGAAAGCGUGGGGAUCAAACAGGAUUAGAUACCCCAGUAGUC
rnacentral:rRNA from 1 species